rnacentral:rRNA from 1 species
CACGUAGGGUGCGAGCGUUGUCCGGAAUUAUUGGGCGUAAAGAGCUCGUAGGCGGUGUGUCGCGUCGGCCGUGAAAACCUGCAGCUUAACUGUGGGCGUGCGGUCGAUACGGGGCAUCACUGGAGUUCGGCAGGGGAGACUGGAAUUCCUGGUGUAGCGGUGAAAUGCGCAGAUAUCAGGAGGAACACCGAUGGCGAAGGCGGGUCUCUGGGCCGUAACUGACGCUGAGGAGCGAAAGCCGUGGGGAGCAAACAGG